rnacentral:misc_RNA from 1 species
AAGUCGUAACAAGGUAACCGUAGGUGAACCUGCGGUUGGAUCAUUAAUAAUUUGAACUUGAACAUUUGUAGUUAUUUGAGUUUGAAAAUUUUUAAAAUUUUCAUUCUUGUAACUACAAUUGUCAUUUACACUUUGUGCACCUAUUAUUGUACCUUUGGGUUUCUGUUUGAGAAGUGCUACUAUAAAGAAUAUUUUUUUAUAGGAAAGCUUCUUUAAGAUUCCCAGCAUUUUUAAACAACCCUUUUAAAUUUUGACUAAUGUUUUUUAUAAUAAAAUAUAUAAACAACUUUAAACAACGGAUCUCUUGGCUUUU